rnacentral:misc_RNA from 1 species
UGCGCCUCACUUGCUAGCAUGUGUAUUGUAUUUUGUCGGGUUUCGAGAUCAAGAAUCGAUGUCCCUUUGUUGGUUGGUUUUCCGAGAAUCCUUGACCCUUCAUUACGCUGGCCACCUGGCAAAAUGCGCCUCACUUGCUAGCACGUCUAGAUCAGCCAGGGCGUAGGCAUGUGUAUCGUAUUUUGUUGGGUUUCGAGAUCAAGAAUCGAUGUCCCUUUGUUGGUUGGUUUUCCGAGAAUCCUUGACCCUUGAUUUGUUACUUUCGCAUCGUUCGGUGCAUUCUGGGGGAUGUUUUGGCUUUUGGUGGCUUACUUGGCCUUUUGGCUGGGUUUGUUGCUAUUGGUCGGGCGGCUUUCGGGAAUGUCGACCGUGGAGGUGCAUGAGUGGUGUUUGGUUUGUUAYGUGUGGAUGGCUGUUUGCUUGCGCAACAACGUUCAUGCUGCAUACCUCUUCAGUUUUGCGGCAAGGCUUGGUUUGGCUUGUGCAUAUUGUGGGUUUCCUGUGUUGCAUACCUAGUUGAAGGAAAAGUGUGGGUUUUACGAUUUUCAUUUUCGUCUUGCGUCGUUCUUUCGGCAUGGGAUGAGCAAUGAAGCGAUCUUUAUGAUCCAUCGUGAUGUUGUGUUUGCAACAAUGAUGUGGCCUAUGAAGCAUCGUUUGGUCUCUUGUAUACGGAAGCUCAUUUGGGCUUGGGUCUUUAUAAGAUCUUUGUUAUGCCCUUGUUAAGCGUUCUCGCUUCUCCUAAACGAUUG